AUUUCAAUUUCCUCUCUCUCAUUCUCACUCUUGCUUUCUCUCAUUCUCUCCCCGGAACUGUUUCACUCUUCUUCUCCCUCUUCUUCUUUCUCCUCUUCUUCCUCCUUCUUCUUCUUUACAAAACAUAAUGAUACUCUCUGUAACACUUUGAUAACAAAGCCCUAAUCAAAGUCGAUAACGAUGCACGGAAUCGGGCUUCAGAAAUCCUAUAAAAUAAAGAUUCACAAAAUUAGGGUUUCGGAAAAGCGUCAGAUGCUCUGAAUCAUGGACUUGAGUUACAUGAUUUAGCUGUUUGCAGGUUUUUGGAUUUAGAAGUUUGAUGUUGUCUUCUCUAAAGCUAAAAGUUAAUAAUAGAAAAGAUGAUGGCAACAGUUCACAGGAAAAUCUGCCAAACGAUAUUUCUACUUCUGUUUUUCGUUUCUGUUUCAGUUGUGAAAUAUAUUGGCUGUGUAGUACAAUAACUGCUUUCUGUUGCUGUUGUGUUGAUGAGUUUUUUCUAAAAUAGGCUUAACUUUGUUUUGAUGUACUGGUUUAUGUUGUGUUCAUCUACAUCAUAUAUAUUGUACUGUUGUUUUCUGUUUUGUAAAUAACUUAAAAUGCAAUAACGAGUGGAGAUUCAAAUGAAGAAGGAAGAGCAGUGGACAAGAAGAGUAGUGGAUUUUCAAGAGGUGUUUCUGUGUAUAGAGGUGUGACAAGUGUUUAUCUUUUUCUUCUUGUCUCAAUUUUUCAGACACCAUCAACAUGGAAGGUGGUAGGCUCGAAUCGGACGGGUUGUGGGAAACAAAGACUUGUAUCUUAAUACAUUUAGUUUAUAUGUCAGUUUGAACAAAGAUUAGACUGUAUAUCAGCAUGCUUGUCUGAGCUGGAAUGAUGGAUAAUUGGUUUUGUCAAAAACGCUGGCGGAGUCGGAAAUUGCGGAAGUGGAGAAUCAGUAGCUAUAGAUGUUGCUGUAGUUUUGGGGAGUUUAGUUUUUUUCUAAGAUGCUGUCUUCUUGUGCGACUGUUUCCGGUGAUGUGUUGAUUCUGUCGAGAGCCAUGGUGUAAUGUUUUCGCAUGUAUUGGUGCAUUCUGUAUGCAAGAGGUAUGGAGAAUUAGUAGCUAUAGAUAUUGCCGGAGUAAUCGUAGAGUUGCGUCUUCGGCGCCAUCCGAGCAAGCUACGGGUCUGGUGUAUGUUAUUUUAUGGGUUUUGAGUAUAGGCUACGUAUGGUUCUGUCUGUCAUGGGUUAUGGUUUAGUUUUGGUACUGUCAUGAUUUUGUUGUUUGGAUUGGUGUAGUUGUAGAAUUGUGCAUUUGUGAAAAGGAUGAUUAGGAAAAGGAUGAUUCCAAUCUGUUGUUUUUCUUUAAUUUUCCCAAUGGGUAUUUCAGUAGACUCGAAAGGAAUAAAUUUUUCCUUGCCAUUCUUCUAUUGCUUUUUAAAUUGAGACCAUAUCCUUCUUUUGACUAUAAUUUUGUCCUCCAAGUUAUUAUAAUUUUAAUUCUUUUUCUUAUUGUCUGACACUUUGACUAUAAUCUUUGGUUUUUUAACGUUAAUGUUAUGACUUUUGUGAAACAUGUAAUUAAUCUCAGUUUUCUAAAUAUUGUCACGUAUCAUGUGAUAUUAUUCUCAUUAACAUGGAUUACUGUUUUUUUUUGUCCCUUUAAUAUUUAUAUGCAUCUUUUACAUAUUGUUUUUGAAGUAUAUUACAUACCACUUUGUUAACAAAAUAUAUCAAUCACCAUUUAUAAAAUAACAUUUUUAAUUUUAUUGUAUAUAUUUCAAUUUGACUGCAAUGUUUCAGAUCACUUGAGUUUCUCAUUAUUUAAAAUCAUUUGUCUCUCCCAUCUCAUUUACUUUAAGUUAUUGUCCAUUUGUUUUUAAGUUGCUUCUUUAUUUGGUUUAAUAUAAUUUAUUUGUUUGAAAACGUAAAAUCAUUCAUAUGUGGCAUAUGCUUAAGAACCUAUUUGCUGGUCUAUGUCAU